rnacentral:lncRNA from 1 species
CGGUGGCGCACGCCUUUAAUCCCAGCACUCGGGAGGCAGAGGCAGGCGGAUUUCUGAGUUCGAGGACAGCCUGGACUACAGAAUGAGUUCUAGGACAGCCAGGGCUACACAGAGAAACCCUGUCUCGAAAAACCAAAAAAAAAAAAAAAAAAAGGAGAGAGCUGGGGAUGUGGCUCAGUAGUGUGCUUGGCUGGUAUGCAGAAGGUGCUGAGUCCCGAUCCCUCAGGACCAUGUAAACCUGGCGAAGUGGUGCAUGCCUGGAAUUCCAUUAUUUAAGAGGUGUAGGCAAGAAUGAAAGGGCUCUGUAGUGUUUUUUAGUGAGGCAGAAGGAAUGGGGAGAAGGGCAAGGCCUGCCAGAGCCAUGCUUGCCUUGUGUAAGCUAGCUAGUGUCCCUUCAAGGAGGAUCAGGAAUUCAAUGUCAUCGUUGGCUGCAUAGUUAGUUCAAGGCCAGCAUGGUCUCUGUCUCUGUCUCUGUCUCUCUCUCUCUCUCACACACACACACACACACACACACACACACCAUAGAAACUACAAGAAAUCAUAAAGUAAGACUACCUCUGGGUCGAUCUUUCUUUCUUCUAUCUCAAAUUUGCUGCUUCAAUUACUGCUUCUAAAUAUUUCCAACAGGCAGCUGUUUGAGUCUGCAGAGGUGAAGCAGCAAACCCAUCCAGCUUGGCCCUGUCUGCCAUAGCAGACAUUAGCAAUCCAUCAUCGAACUCAUUCACCCUGAGAUGGGACUGCAGACCUCCUCCUCUACUGCUUGCUUAGCACCUAUUGGAGGAGCGAGGGAUUUUCCUUCCGUGUUUGAGAACUUGCCACGUGGUAAUCUUCUCUGUGCCCCACAACUCUAUCAAAGGCCCUACUCAUGCCUGGACACGUUUCCCCACAUCCUGUUAAGAAGGAACUGCUGCUGGCUCAGCGUUUGUAGAAGAAAGUCGGUAACGGCUCCAUCGCUGGCCCCGGUUCUCUCAGAACAUUCUACUGUGCCGAGAUGCCCGGUGCUGAUGAAGCAACUUGGCUACCUAAUCCAGCCUAAUCCAGCCGAGAUGCCCGGUGCUGAUGAAGCAACUUGGCUACCUUCCACGAGUGUCCCAAGAUCUUCAUAUGACCUGGAGGGACGCCGGGAAGGAGGACGUGAAAAAGAGGAAGGAGGACCAAAGGAGGCACAGACUGCUGGGAGAGCCAGCCAUACCCCUGGCCCCCCUGUAAGAGAAACAGACAAGGAAGCCCCCAGGGGUUCCAAGCUCCUAAGACCAAACUCCCAGCUCCAGGGUCUAACCAGCCAGCAAGACCCCCAGAUGAGGCAGGGCAGGGCAGUGAGCUCCAUCUCAGCUCCCAGGACAAGUGAAUAGCACUGAGUUCACACCCUCCCAGCUGCCCCAGGGCCCUCUGUACUUGUACUCAGUCUAGAGCUUCUCUCUGUCACUGAGGUGGAGGGGAGGAGGCCUGGAUUGUACUGUAAAGCCAGGCUGGGAGGGAGUCCCGAGAAAGCUCUCAGCAGGAGAAAAAGAGAGACUCCUACAAAUGGAGAAGGUUAACAGUAGGAUGUUGAGGAACCAGGCUCACAUGCCUGAAUUCCAGCACUCUGGGACCAAAGGCAGAAGAAUGGCUAUGAGUUCAAGACCAACCUGGGCCACAGCACCCUGUCAAAAAGAAAAACAAACAAAACAACAAUAAAAAACUGGUUUGUAUGAGUGUCCUAGUCCA